UGUGUAAAAAUGAAAUGAACAAACUGUAUUCGAUCCAAGCAACAUUAACAUUUCAUUUCAACACUAGUGACGAAAAAGAGCAUCUAAUUAAAGUGAUUGAGUUUGUAUGAGUUAAUUGCAGCACUAGUGUCGAAAUGAACCACAUUUCGAUAUUAGGAUGCUACACGAACAGUAGACACGUUUCGUAACCGAAUUACAGAAACAGAACUUUUUUUCUGUUAAUUUUUUCUAACUAAUAAAAUGUAAAAUCACCACAACUGAAUGAAAACAAGGAAACAAAAAAAAAUUUUAAAAGGAAACCCAUUUUUUAAAGUGCUAUUUUUGUAACAUUUAACAACAAAAUUAAUGGAUCAUUAACACAAUGCAACAAACUAUAUUUACUUAUCUGUAAAACAGUUUCUAUUCUAAAUGAAAGAAGAGGAGAACAACACUAAAAACUAAAAAAAAUAUUUUUAAAUCAAAUGAAAAGAGAAAUUUUCAUUUGUUUUUUAUUGCAUUUGAUAUUUGACUUAAAGUUAAGUUAAGAGAAGAAACGUUUUUGUAUACAACUUAAUCGUAAGUGAAAAUCACUAAAAUAGGCCAAGAGACCAUGUGCACAUCAGUCACUCAUGAGGCCAUGGCUUAUUACCAAUGGCCACAUCCAAUCAAAAGUUUCCAAUCAAAAGUUUCCAAUCAAAAGACCACGAGAAAAUGACGGAUUGUUGAUGCUUUGUCUGAUGACAAUUCGGUAGAUAAAAUGUCUAUUUUCUCCUCAGGGCACGAGAAAAUGACGGCUUGUGAAGCUUUAUCUGAUGACAGUUCGGGAGAUGAUUUGUGUAUUUUCUCAUCACUGGUUUUGACAGGGUAGAAAAUAAAUAUUUUCUUCCCCGCACUGUCACCUUAGUUUUUAAUUGAAAUUUUCGUGGAGAAAAACGGCUAAUCACACCCCGCACAACUGAAAAACGUUGUGCUCACCUCUGGAAGAAAAUAAGAAAUUCCAACUCGAGCGAUUCGCUCUUGUUGGAAUUUUCUAACUUCUUCGCUCAGUGAACAAAAAUAAUCUUUGAACGAUACGGCGAUAUGCCUAGUAUGAAAGGUCUGUCGUUCCAGAAAUGUCAAAUGCAACUUAGGCAUGAAGCGUAUAACACUAAAAGUCGCUAAAGCCAAUUCGUGUGGCACUAAUACCUUCAUUUUGACAACAACUUUCUCUACAAUGUAGACUGACUGAGUCAUACACAAGGUUUGAUCUCGUUUGAGUCCUUCUCUAGCGUUCCAAAAAGGAAAUUUCCAGCAAAACAAACAUUUAUCGUCCUUUUAAAUAAAGCUGCAUAGGUUUUCGAAGUAUGGUUACCUUUUCAGGGACUGACAUGCACACGGGCUCUCGCUCUAUAAGACGUAAUUUAUUUUUACCAUGGCGCUUUAUGUGUUAAGGUGGAAAUGAUUAGUCAUUAAAAUGGUCGCAGUGCCAAAAUCGAGAAGGUGGGAACUCGGCAAAUAAGUUGUCACUACGGGUCUAUAAUCACAGCGAAUUUUAAACGGUGUUGCUGUGUAGAACACUGUUAUUUUGCUGGUCAAUAAUUCGGUGAAUUUCUACCCCCUCGACCAAAAUCAAUUUCAUAUUAACAGAACAUGAAAUCUAACAACAAAUUCACUGUCGCGAACUGCAGCUUAGCCAAAAUCUGAUAUGUGGAGACAACAAUUUAGAAUUUUAAUUCUCCAUUACUUUCAGUUGGGGAUGGCUUAGGGUUGUAAUCCAUCCAGCUCUGUAACCCAAUAUUUAUUAAAUGAAAGGACGAUGUCGCUGUUGUUAAAUCAACAUAUUCCCAGACAUUUUCUUUGAUUCAUAUCCUAAAUUAGUAGUCGUGAUGGUAAGCAAACUAUAUUACUCUUGAUUGGCGAAGGUGCAUAGCUGUUUUCUUGCUGGUGGUUGUGCAAGAAUGUAUUGAGACGUGAUAUCGAAAUGCAAUUAAGCUGCAAACAUAUAAGACUUAUGCCGGCUGAGUCUUCUAAAAAGCAGGAAAAUUUAGCGACAUGGACUGUGAUGUCUAAACCAGGCCUAUUUUCAGGAUUGUUUUUUUUUCGAGAAUUUUCAGAAAUUCCAGAAUGUUCAAGAAUUUAAGGAAUUUUCAAGAAUGGUAGGAAUCUUUUGGAACUUCACGAAUUUCCCAGAAUUUAUAGAAUUUUCAAGAAAUAAUGUCAAGAAAAUAGGCCCUGCCAAACACUACAUCGGAUGGACAUUCAGACGAAAUUUGUGUCCAUUGUAAUGUUAUACCUACUGUACAUACGUACGAUUCGAAACUGGUGUCGAUUCGUUUAAAAUUGUUUUUAGCAUUUUUGUAAAUAAUUCACGCCGUAAGUGUGGUCGAAAUUCAAAAUGGAAAGUGCAGAGGUCUUUUUAACGUAGCGCCAUUUUCAUAUAGAGAAGCGUUGAAACGAAUUUUUUGGUUCACUUUUUCAUCGAAUCGUUCACUUAAAAUUCAAAUUUUAGGCACACUUACGGCGUGAAUUAUGAACAGCAAGUCAAAGCAAAACCGAAAAUUCAAUGAUUGCGUUGAUUUUACUCAACGAUUUAUUUUUCCUUAUUUCUUGAAUUUUAAUUUGUAAUUCUAACACCACGCUGGAAAACAGAUAAUUAACACAAACCUUAUAUACAUUUAGCAGACAUAUAACACAGACCAGAUUAGAGAUCUGAUUUGAUCUGAUUAGGUGGCUCUCGAGGAGAGAAUUUACAUUUAAAAAAAUGGUUCAAAUAAAAAAGGAACUAAAAAAAUUAGUAGGAGGAAAAAGCCAAACACCAGGAGCGUAUGUGCUUUUAUAGUUGAACAAAGUUAAAAUUUAGGAUUCAAGUAAAUGUUGAAUUUAGGCCAAGGAAACUGUUUUUUGUUUGUUCUAGAAACUUAAAUUGAAUAUGAAAGGGAGAGAAAACCGAUUGUAUUGCACAGAUCAUUUUAAUUGACAUAAAUGGUCUGUUGAAUGCGUUGUCUAGUGUGUGAAAGAAGAAACAGUCAUUCGGGGCAUUGGUAUGUACACCAUUUGAAACGGAACCAAUGUUUCUUGAUUUCGAUCGGAUUUUCAGUAUUAAUCGUCUAUAAACAAUUCUAAUCUUGAAAAUCGACAGAUGAUUCAUACCGGAACAUUCAGAAUUUCCGUCUUCUGAUUCUUCGAAAGUUUCAUAAGUCGUGUCUAACCUUAUACAGUUAGCAAGCAUAUCAACGAAUAAUAAUCGAAUCUAUUACUUCUUUCAAUCGUCAAUCGUUUUAAAUAAACUGCUUGCUGAAUCUUUUACUUCAUUAGUUUUACAACGUUUUCCACUCAUUGCUAAUUUGUGUCGUUUCUGUCGAUAGCAGAUGACAUAGUCGUAUGUCAAAUUUAAACGUUCAUUGAUCGUUGUCAAUGUCGUUUGAGCUGUCAAAUUCAUUGACAUUUUCAUCCAACUAACCUCAAAGUUCGAAAAAUUAUACGAAAUUUAUAUUUUUUGUGAGGUUAUCUGAAUGAAGUAGACACUGAUUUUACAAGUAUUGGUGAAGAAACAGCUAUUUGACAAUAAUAUAUUUUCGUCCAGAUGUUUUCCUAACACACUAGAUACUGCUCUAGCACUAGCUGCAUAUAGCGACGUGAAGGAGACCUAAUUUAAAUGUUUCUUUAGUUUUUCUUGUCAAUAUUGACAAUAUAACAAAAAUCUAUUUUGAUUUAGGUCUCUUUCGCGCUGCUAUUUGUAGCUACAGAAACAGACGCAAGGAUUUUUCUAUUCGAUUUUCUUUCAGUAGUCAAUAAUGAGAAGAGCUAUAAAGAUGGAUUAGGAAAAUAGAGAGAAAAGAGAAUAAAAUUUUAUUUGAACAACAAUGCAAAAAGCAAAAUUCAACUAAAAAACAAAACGUCAACACAAAUAGAAAGGCGAUACCCCCCUUAAUUAUUAUUAUUAUUAAAACAGAGGAAAAUGAAGAUGAACCCAUAUGAUAAUUAAUUAGCUUUGUAAAAUUUGUGCGAUAUAAUUAUUAUUAUAAAAGAUUUAAAAAAACAAACAAAACAAAAUAUGACGACAAACUGAGAUGGAAACAAAUGAACGUUGUAUUUAAGAAGCUUUUUUGUGUUACAACCUUUUAUAAAAAUAAUACAAACAUUAUUAUUAUGAGGAACAAUAAUGAAAA